rnacentral:rRNA from 1 species
UACGGAGGGGGCUAGCGUUUGUUUCGGAAUUACUGGGCGUAAAGCGCACGUAGGCGGCUUUGUAAGUUAGAGGUGAAAGCCCAGGGCUUAACCCUGGAAUUGCCUUUAAGACUGCAUCGCUAGAAUCGUGGAGAGGUGAGUGGAAUUCCGAGUGUAGAGGUGAAAUUCGUAGAUAUUCGGAAGAACACAGUGGCGAAGGCGACUCACUGGACUGGUAAUUGACGCUGAGGUGGCGAAA